rnacentral:rRNA from 1 species
GGGACACGUGGUAUCCUGUCUGAAUAUGGGGGGACCAUCCUCCAAGGCUAAAUACUCCUGACUGACCGAUAGUGAACCAGUACCGUGAGGGAAAGGCGAAAAGAACCCCGGCGAGGGGAGUGAAAAAGAACCUGAAACCGUGUACGUACAAGCAGUGGGAGCACGCUUAGGCGUGUGACUGCGUACCUUUUGUAUAAUGGGUCAGCGACUUAUAUUCUGUAGCAAGGUUAACCGAAUAGGGGAGCCGAAGGGAAACCGAGUCUUAACUGGGCGUUAAGUUGCAGGGUAUAGACCCGAAACCCGGUGAUCUAGCCAUGGGCAGGUUGAAGGUUGGGUAACACUAACUGGAGGACCGAACCGACUAAUGUUGAAAAAUUAGCGGAUGACUUGUGGCUGGGGGUGAAAGGCCAAUCAAACCGGGAGAUAGCUGGUUCUCCCCGAAAGCUAUUUAGGUAGCGCCUCGUGAAUUCAUCUCCGGGGGUAGAGCACUGUUUCGGCAAGGGGGUCAUCCCGACUUACCAACCCGAUGCAAACUGCGAAUACCGGAGAAUGUUAUCACGGGAGACACACGGCGGGUGCUAACGUCCGUCGUGAAGAGGGAAACAACCCAGACCGCCAGCUAAGGUCCCAAAGUCAUGGUUAAGUGGGAAACGAUGUGGGAAGGCCCAGACAGCCAGGAUGUUGGCUUAGAAGCAGCCAUCAUUUAAAGAAAGCGUAAUAGCUCACUGGUCGAGUCGGCCUGCGCGGAAGAUGUAACGGGGCUAAACCAUGCACCGAAGCUGCGGCAGCGACGCUUAUGCGUUGUUGGGUAGGGGAGCGUUCUGUAAGCCUGUGAAGGUGUGCUGUGAGGCAUGCUGGAGGUAUCAGAAGUGCGAAUGCUGACAUAAGUAACGAUAAAGCGGGUGAAAAGCCCGCUCGCCGGAAGACCAAGGGUUCCUGUCCAACGUUAAUCGGGGCAGGGUGAGUCGACCCCUAAGGCGAGGCCGAAAGGCGUAGUCGAUGGGAAACAGGUUAAUAUUCCUGUACUUGGUGUUACUGCGAAGGGGGGACGGAGAAGGCUAUGUUGGCCGGGCGACGGUUGUCCCGGUUUAAGCGUGUAGGCUGGUUUUCCAGGCAAAUCCGGAAAAUCAAGGCUGAGGCGUGAUGACGAGGCACUACGGUGCUGAAGCAACAAAUGCCCUGCUUCCAGGAAAAGCCUCUAAGCAUCAGGUAACAUCAAAUCGUACCCCAAACCGACACAGGUGGUCAGGUAGAGAAUACCAAGGCGCUUGAGAGAACUCGGGUGAAGGAACUAGGCAAAAUGGUGCCGUAACUUCGGGAGAAGGCACGCUGAUAUGUAGGUGAAGCGACUUGCUCGUGGAGCUGAAAUCAGUCGAAGAUACCAGCUGGCUGCAACUGUUUAUUAAAAACACAGCACUGUGCAAACACGAAAGUGGACGUAUACGGUGUGACGCCUGCCCGGUGCCGGAAGGUUAAUUGAUGGGGUCAGCGCAAGCGAAGCUCUUGAUCGAAGCCCCGGUAAACGGCGGCCGUAACUAUAACGGUCCUAAGGUAGCGAAAUUCCUUGUCGGGUAAGUUCCGACCUGCACGAAUGGCGUAAUGAUGGCCAGGCUGUCUCCACCCGAGACUCAGUGAAAUUGAACUCGCUGUGAAGAUGCAGUGUACCCGCGGCAAGACGGAAAGACCCCGUGAACCUUUACUAUAGCUUGACACUGAACAUUGAGCCUUGAUGUGUAGGAUAGGUGGGAGGCUUAGAAGUGUGGACGCCAGUCUGCAUGGAGCCGACCUUGAAAUACCACCCUUUAAUGUUUGAUGUUCUAACGUUGACCCGUAAUCCGGGUUGCGGACAGUGUCUGGUGGGUAGUUUGACUGGGGCGGUCUCCUCCUAAAGAGUAACGGAGGAGCACGAAGGUUGGCUAAUCCUGGUCGGACAUCAGGAGGUUAGUGCAAUGGCAUAAGCCAGCUUGACUGCGAGCGUGACGGCGCGAGCAGGUGCGAAAGCAGGUCAUAGUGAUCCGGUGGUUCUGAAUGGAAGGGCCAUCGCUCAACGGAUAAAAGGUACUCCGGGGAUAACAGGCUGAUACCGCCCAAGAGUUCAUAUCGACGGCGGUGUUUGGCACCUCGAUGUCGGCUCAUCACAUCCUGGGGCUGAAGUAGGUCCCAAGGGUAUGGCUGUUCGCCAUUUAAAGUGGUACGCGAGCUGGGUUUAGAACGUCGUGAGACAGUUCGGUCCCUAUCUGCCGUGGGCGCUGGAGAACUGAGGGGGGCUGCUCCUAGUACGAGAGGACCGGAGUGGACGCAUCACUGGUGUUCGGGUUGUCAUGCCAAUGGCACUGCCCGGUAGCUAAAUGCGGAAGAGAUAAGUGCUGAAAGCAUCUAAGCACGAAACUUGCCCCGAGAUGAGUUCUCCCUGACUCCUUGAGAGUCCUGAAGGAACGUUGAAGACGACGACGUUGAUAGGCCGGGUGUGUAAGCGCAGCGAUGCGUUGAGCUAACCGGUACUAAUGAACCGUGAGGCUUAACCUUACAACGCCGAAGGUGUUU